ACUCCCAAAUUUGCGAGAUUAUAAAGUCCUAAAUUUAUAGGAAAAACGGAAAACUGAGCGAUGCGAAGGUCCUGAAAGAUACAUAUAUAUGUUUUCUUUAAUGGUCUUAAUGUGUUCUUCUAUGAACAUAAGUACUGAUAUUAUAGAAGUUGCGGGGAAAGUUGAGACGAAAAAAACUAUCUUUGACUACUGUCUUUGACUACACUAAGGCGCGUCUUUGUUUUCAGCACAGUUUACAUUAAAAACCAACCAUUGAGAAGACGUUACUCUGAACUACUCUGCAUUACCAUGGUUACACCAUGACGCUUUUAACUAUCAGUGUCAUUCAGAACAGUGGUUCCCGAAAUGGGGUCCGGGCCCCCCCUAGGGGGGGACGCCAAAGAUCACAGGGGGUGCGCAAGGAUUUGUCUGCUCUGAGGUUGUCAAAAUUAGAUUUGCUCAUGUAUAAAUAAAAUCACACUUACUGGAUAAUUUAUACAAAAGUCUGUAUAUAAAACAAUUUAAAACGAUUUCUUUGCUACUAAGAAGCAAAAUCUAACGAAAUAUUCAACUCCAAUCUGGAUUUGUUGGCGUUUAGCAGUUCAAAUAUGUAUUGAAAGGCUAAAUGCCAACAAAUACGGAUUGAAGCUG